GUUUCUUUGGUGGGGGGAGAGAGAAAAGUCUCCCCUUUAAAUAAGGUUGGAGGGAAGAAGUUUGACUCCUCUUCGGGAUGUUUUUUGACUUCAAUUAAGAGUCAGUCGGGAGGAAGAAGAAGACUCUCGAGAGUCUUCUUCAUUUUUUUUUUGUUAGGCUUUGUGGGCCUUUGGGUUGGGUUUAAGGCCCAAAUGAGCCGGGUAUUACAUUCAGCCC
rnacentral:lncRNA from 1 species